rnacentral:rRNA from 1 species
UACGUAGGAGGCAAGCGUUGUCCGGAAUUACUGGGCGUAAAGCGCGUGUAGGUGGUGGGACAAGUCUGCUGUGAAAGUGCCUGGCUUAACCGGGCGAGGUCGGCGGAAACUGUCCGACUCGAGGACGGUAGAGGGGGGUGGAAUUCCCGGUGUAGUGGUGAAAUGCGUAGAGAUCGGGAGGAACACCUGUGGCGAAGGCGGCCCCCUGGGCCGGCCCUGACACUGAGACGCGAAGGCGUGGGGAGCGAACCGG